rnacentral:lncRNA from 1 species
AUGUACACACACACACACACAUCACACACACACACACCACACAAACACAUCACACACACAUCACAUAUCACCACACAUACAUCACACACACAUAUCACACACAUACACACACAUCACACAUACACACCACACAAACUCACACCACUAAAAGGAAAGUGGGGAAUGAAAUCAAGCCGGGCUGCAAACCAGCUCAGAUCACUCACCAUUGGCCAGCACAUCUCUCAGUUGCAAGGAAUGCAGGGACAGAAGACCACAUCAGCACCUGGAGCAUGCAGCCAGGAAAUCCCAGGCCCAACAGGGGUGCAGACAAACCACCUUAUUUCCCCCAUAAACACAGGGCAAGGAGAAAGCAACAGAAGAAAAGAACCCCAAGAAAGAGACAUUUCAGGGGGAGAUGCAGCUCAGUGGAGAGUGCUUGCCUAGCAUGAACAACCCCAAAUUCUGACCCCAGCAUCAAAACAAGACAAGAUGGAGCAGGCGGGCAGCAAAGGAGUCUGUGUAAAUCCUAUUGUGGAUCUUGUCGGAAUCCUGUAAACUAACAACAUGUAAACACUGGCUAAAUAUUAAAGACCUGACAUUUUUCAGGUGUGAU